UACGUAGGUGGCAAGCGUUGUUCGGAAUUACUGGGCGUAAAGGGCGCGUAGGCGGCCAGCGCAAGUCGGUUGUGAAAUCUCCGGGCUUAACUCGGAAAGGUCAACUGAUACUGCGCGGCUAGAGUGCAGAAGGGGCAACUGGAAUUCUCGGUGUAGCGGUGAAAUGCGUAGAUAUCGAGAGGAACACCUGCGGCGAAGGCGGGUUGCUGGGCUGACACUGACGCUGAUGCGCGAAAGCCAGGGGAGCGAACGGG
rnacentral:rRNA from 1 species